UACGUAGGGUGCGAGCGUUGUCCGGAAUUAUUGGGCGUAAAGGGCUCGUAGGCGGUUUGUCGCGUCGGGAGUGAAAACCUCGGGCUUAACUCGGGGCUUGCUUUCGAUACGGGCAGACUAGAGGUAUGCAGGGGAGAACGGAAUUCCUGGUGUAGCGGUGAAAUGACGCAGAGUAUCAGGAGGAACACCGGUGGCGAAGGCGGUUCUCUGGGCAUGAUCUGACGCUGAGGAGCGAAAGUGUGGGGAGCGAACAGG
rnacentral:rRNA from 1 species